UACGUAGGGUGCAAGCGUUGUCCGGAAUUAUUGGGCGUAAAGAGCUCGUAGGCGGUUUGUUGCGUCGGCUGUGAAAUCCCGAGGCUCAACCUCGGGUCUGCAGUCGAUACGAGCAAACUAGAGUGUUGCAGGGGAGACUGGAAUUCCUGGUAUAGCGGUGAAAUGCGCAGAUAUCAGGAGGAACACCGGUGGCGAAGGCGGGUCUCUGGGCAACAACUGACGCUGAGGAGCGAAAGCGUGGGGAGCGAACAGG
rnacentral:rRNA from 1 species